UACGUAGGCAGCGAGCGUUUGUUCGGAGUUACUGGGCGUAAAGCGUGCGUAGGCGGUGGUCCAAGUCUGGUGUGAAAUCUCCCGGCUUAACUGGGAGGGUGCGCCGGAAACUGGGCCGCUGGAGUACGGGAGAGGCAAGUGGAAUUCCAGGUGUAGCGGUGAAAUGCGUAGAUAUCGAGAGGAACACCUGCGGCGAAGGCGGGUUGCUGGGCUGACACUGACGCUGAUGCGCGAAAGCUAGGGGAGCGAACGGG
rnacentral:rRNA from 1 species